AGAAUCAACGCUGGCGGCGUGCCUAACACAUGCAAGUCGCACGAGAAAGGGGAGCAAUCCCUGAGUACAGUGGCGCACGGGUGAGUAACACGUGAAUGAUCUACCUCCGAGUGGGGAAUAACUGAGAGAAAUCUUGGCUAAUACCGCAUAAUACCCACGGGUCAAAGCAGCAAUGCGCUUGGAGAGGAGUUCGCGGCCGAUUAGCUAGUUGGCGGGUAAUGGCCCACCAAGGCGAUGAUCGGUA
rnacentral:rRNA from 1 species